AGCAGUCGCCGCGGUAAUACGAAAGGUCCAAGCGUUACUCGGAAUUACUGGGCGUAAAGCGCGCGUAGGCGGUCUUGUAUGUCGAUUGUGAAAGCCCCGGGCUCAACCUGGGAACUGCAGUCGAAACUGCAAGACUUGAAUGUUGGAGAGGUUGGGGGAAUACCUAGUGGAGAAGUGAAAUUCGUAGAGAUUAGGUGGAACACCAGAGGCGAAGGCGCCUGACUGGCCAAACAUUGACGCUAAGGCGCGAAAGCGUGGGUAGCAAACAGGAUUAGAUACCCCUGUAGUCCCUGUCUCUUAUAC
rnacentral:rRNA from 1 species